rnacentral:tRNA from 1 species
GAGGGUAUAGCUCAAGUGGUAGCGCGCAUGCUUAGCACGCAUGAGGUCGUGGGUUCAAUCCCCAGUGCCUCCA